GAUGAAGAACGUAGCGAAAUGCGAUAAGUAAUGUGAAUUGCAGAAUUCAGUGAAUCAUCGAAUCUUUGAACGCACCUUGCACUCCUUGGUAUUCCGAGGAGUACGCCUGUUCGAGUGUUAUGAAGCUCUCAAAACGCAAUUGGCUUAAAACCUGAUUGUUGUUUUGGAUUUGAACUUUGCCGUGUUAUAACGGCUGGUUUUAAAAGUAUUAGCUGGUACUAGAACGAAUUGGUUCUACUCAACGUGAUAAUUAUCUGAUCGUUGAGGACAUUCCUUUCACGAGGAAUGGCCAUAGUAAAUUCAAUGGACUGCUUCUAAUCUGGCUUUAAUUCUUUGUUGGAUUAACCACUUUUCAAAUCUGACCUCGAAUCAGGUGGGACUACCCGCUGAACUUAAGCAUAUCAAUAAGCGGAGGA
rnacentral:misc_RNA from 1 species